GACGAGGAGGGCAAGCGUUCUUCGGUAUCACUAGGCGUAAAGUCCAGUCAGGUGGUAAAUCGAUCAAAGAACUUCAACUGAAAAAAAAGUUCAGCAAGUUCCAAGAAAUUUACUAGAGUUAAAAGAAAGAAAAAGGAAUUUCCAAAGUAGUAGUAAAAUACGUUGAGAUUGGAAGGAAGACCAAAGGCGAAGGCAUUUUUCUCCUUUUAACUGACACUGAUCUGGGAAAGUCUGGGGAGCAAAUGGG
rnacentral:rRNA from 1 species